CCUACGGGAGGCAGCAGUGGGGAAUUUUGCGCAAUGGGGGCAACCCUGACGCAGCAACGCCGCGUGAGCGAUGAAGGCCUUCGGGUCGUAAAGCUCUGUCAGAGGGGAAGAAAUGCAGGUGGUGAACAACCAUUCUGUUUGACGGUACCCUCAAAGGAAGCACCGGCUAACUCCGUGCCAGCAGCCGCGGUAAUACGGAGGGUGCGAGCGUUGUUCGGAAUUAUUGGGCGUAAAGCGCGUGUAGGCGGUUUGUUAAGUCUGAGGUGAAAGCCCCGGGCUAAACCUGGGAAGUGCAUUGGAUACUGGCAGACUUGAGUACGGGAGAGGAGAGUGGAAUUCCCAGUGUAGGAGUGAAAUCUGUAGAUAUCGGGAGGAACACCAGUGGCGAAGGCGGUUUUCUGGCCCAUUUCUGACGCUGAGCGGCGAAAGCUAGGGGAGCAAACAGG
rnacentral:rRNA from 1 species